CCUACGGGAGGCAGCAGUGGGGGAUAUUGCACAAUGGGGGAAACCCUGAUGCAGCGACGCCGCGUGAGUGAAGAAGUAUUUCGGUAUGUAAAGCUCUAUCAGCAGGGAAGAAAAUGACAGUACCUGACCAAGAAGCCCCGGCUAACUACGUGCCAGCAGCCGCGGUAAUACGUAGGGGGCGAGCGUUAUCCGGAAUUACUGGGUGUAAAGGGAGCGUAGACGGCGAGGUAAGCCUGAAGUGGAAGCCCGCGGCCCAACCGCGGAACUGCUUUGGGAACUGUUUUGCUGGAGUAUGGGAGGGGUAAGCGGAAUUCCUGGUGUAGCGGUGAAAUGCGUAGAUAUCAGGAGGAACACCGGUGGCAAAGGCGGCUUACUGGACCAUAACUGACGUUGAGGCUCGAAAGCGUGGGGAGCGAACAGGAUUAGAUACCCCUGUAGUC
rnacentral:rRNA from 1 species